rnacentral:rRNA from 1 species
GACUUAUCUCAGUCACCAAGGCACUAUCGUCACUGGCGCUGAUCACCCUGUAGGGACCUUUCCACUGAUUAGUUGGUUUUGGGAACUUCGAACCUUGCUUUUCGGAAGGUAUUUUCAUGUAUACCCCGUUAGCGACUCUGGGUAGAUGGCGGCUCACUUUCAUGUCCCGAUCGUAGGCAGCUUUCAUACGCUCCCUCAUCUUCCGAUUAACCUCUCUGGGUAACCGAGUACCAACAGCGACUUCUUGGGCAUAACUGUCGACAGUAUACUUGCUGGGAUCGCUUCCCGUAACUAGCUCCAUGAAACUGAGGGGUCGACACCAUGCAGCAAGAAAAAGGGAGACUCUCCAGUCGAUUCGUGCACGGCAUUGUAUGCGAAUACACAGCAGGGGAGAAUUGUGCCCCACUCAACCGGCACAGACACUUUCUUCCGAAGAAUCUGCAGUAAGGUCUGAUUAAACCUUUCCGUAACGCCGUUCUCCCGUGGUAUACAUAUGCUCAAUUCCAAGGAUAGCGCGCAGCUCUUCCAUUAGCUUAUUGUUGAACUCGCCUCCUUGGUCGGAGAGAAUGCACUUAGGUGAACGACAGCCCUCGGCUAUCCACCUGACAAACAGUACUUUGGCCACUAACGGAGCACUUUUCGAUGGGAUGACGAAUGCGCCUCCAUACUUUGUGAAGUGAUCCACCACGGUCAAUACAUACUUGUUGCCGGUGGAUGUUGGCUCUAUUUCCAGAAUAUCUAUGCCUACCAGCUGGUACGACUUGGAUGAUACGAUUGGCUUGAGCGCAGGUGUCAUGUUGUGGUGCUUGUUGUGACGGAGGCACUCACGACACUCUUUAGACCAGGCCGCUACAUCACGGGCCAUAGUCUCCAAAACAGCUCCUUUUUCAGCUGUUUCAGCGCCUUCCUGCUUCCAAAAUAUCCAGCCAGCAAGCUGUAGUGUGCUUCAUCGAACAUCUUCUUUCGCUGUGAGGGUGGCACCACCCUUCUGAGCACUUUUUGAUUGCCUUUAAAUUUCAGGACACCGUCUUCAUAGCAAAGUCUGCGAUCUUCAACUUCGCCUUCACUUGUGGGAAAACUACUUUCUCUUCUACAUGUCCUCCUUCUAAGGCAGUCCAGACUUUUUCCGUAGACCUCAUGCUGCUUCAAUUCCCGUGACCAUUCCGGUUCACUAGUAACACAAGCUACAAUAAGCUCGUUAGGAAUGGGUUCAGCAUCACUCGGGUUUUCUGUUGGCGCAACCUCUCUGCUCAGUGCGUCGGCGACUCGAUUCGCAGCACCUUUCACAUAGAUAAUCUUCAGGUUAUAUUUCUGGAGCUCGAGUGCCCAUCUCAGGAUUCUUUGUGAGACAUUAGAACGCUUAAACAGUGCAGAGAGGGCUUGGUGGUCGGUGUACACUUCUACCGGAAGGCCGUAUACAUAAAUGUGAAACUUCGCAAAGCGAACACCACCGCAAGCGCCUCGAGGUCCGUCACAUGGUAGUUAAUUUCGCUACGGGUAAGACCCUUGGAAGCGAUGCAAUCCGGAUGGAGCAUGCCGUCCUCUCAGAGACCGAGCUAGAGUUCUCUUCUCUAGUUAAGGAACGGACUCCCUGGAAUCGGUUCAGCCGUAGAUAGGGACGUUGUUUCCGUAAAGCAUCGCGGUUUCUGUGAUGUCUCGUGUUCUCUGGACGUCCCUUGAAAAACCAAGGAAGGCUAUUAAUCUGUGCUGCAUCGUACCGAUAUCCGCAUCAGGUCUCCAAGGUGAACAGCCUCUAGUCGAUAGAAUAAUGUAGGUAAGGGAAGUCGGCAAAUUAGAUCCGUAAAUUCGAGAAAAGGAUUGGCUCCAGUGAACGGGUCGGUUGGCGUGUUAACUGAUGCUUGUGCGGUUUCGUCCGUGGCUGGCAGACGCUCACGCUGAUGCUGGACUAGUGACAAGACUGCCUUGUGGACGUUUUCAGGUGUGUGCUUUGUCUUCGGGCUUAGUAUCGUGACCGACCAUCAAAACGGUCGAACUGGAACUGGUACGGACUCGGGGAAUCCGACUGUCUAAUUAAAACAGAGGAGACAGAUUGGUCCUUGCGGACGUUUACUGUCUCUGAUUUCUGCCCAGUGCUCUGAAUGUUAAAUCGUAGUAAUUCGAGUAAGCGCGGGUAAACGGCGGGAGUAACUAUGACUCUCUUAAGGUAGCCAAAUACCUCGUCAGCUAACUACUGACGCGCAUGAAUGGAUUAACGAGAUUCCCACUGUCCCUAACUACUAUCUAGCGAAACCACAGCCAAGGGAACGGGCUUGGCAAAAAAUAGGGGGAAAGAAGACCCUGUUGAGCUUGACUAGUUUGACAUUGUGAAGAGUCAUGAGAGGUAUAGCAUAGGUGGGUUCGGUCGACAAUGAAAUACCACCACUUUCAUCGAUUCUUUACUUAUUCGGUAAGAAGAGGAUUGAGCUUCGGCUCUUUGUUCUUAGUGUUAAGCAUGGCCACCUGGUGGCCGUCCGACUCUUGCCGAAGACAGUGUAGGCGGGGAGUUUGAUUGGGCGGUACAUCUGUCAAACUGUUACGCAGGCAGGUGUCCUAAGGCUAGCUCAGAGAGGACGGAAACCUCUCGUAGUUUCCGUCGAUAGGCCACGCUCUCGUGUCCUAAGGCUAGCUCAAGAAGGACGGAACCUCUCGUAGAGCAAAAGGGCAAAAGCUCGCUUGAUCUUGACUUUCAGUACGAGUACAGACCGAGAAAGCGUGGCCUAUCGAUCCUUUUAAUCCAUAUGGUUUCUGGUAAGAGGUGUCAGAAAAGUUACCACAGGGAUAACUGGCUUGUGGCAGCCAAGCAUCCAUAGCGACGUUGCUUUUUGAUCCUUCGAUGUCGGCUCUUCCUAUCAUUGCGAAGCAGAAUUCGCCAAGCGUUGGAUUGUUCACCCACUAAUAGGGAACGUGAGCUGGGUUUAGACCGUCGUGAGACAGGUUACUUUUACCCUACUGUUGACUAAUUGUUGCGAUAGUAAUCCUGCUUAGUACGAGAAGGACAGCAGGUUCAGACAUUUGGUUCAUGGACUUGACCGAUCGGUCAAUGGUCCGAAGCUACCAUCUGGGGGAUUAUGACUGUAAGUCAGAAUCCCACCUAGUCAAGGCAGCGAUAACUUUGUUUCCCGGUGUCGGGAGGCAACUCUAUCUCGUGGCAACACGAGAGCAUAUGCCCUAUUAAAUGACCUUGCCGGUAUGGAUAAUCCCUGCUGGUUGUCAAAGCCAGAUUACUCUGGUUCAAUGUCGGGGCGCAAAAUCACAUGUUUACGACAUGUAUACUGGUCAAGGUGUUGUAUCCAGUAGAGCAGUG